GAGAAAGAAGAGUGGAGUCGCGGCCCCGCCCCUUUUAUGCCCCCUUGUUUCUUGGUGACGCUGGUCUCUGUUCCACCUGGCGGAGUCGUCGACGUGCUUACUCGGAAGUAAACCCCACGGUUUUAUUUCCAAUAAAGGAUGCACUACUAGAUAACAGCCAAAUAGGAUUAAUAGCAUAAGGCGGGAAGGUUGGAAGCAGCAAAGACCACGCUUUCUUCUCAGACGACGAAUUUUAACCAAGAGUGCUGCCAUUUGUGAGGUGCUUCAUCGGAGCCUUGGGCGUUCUGGUUUUGGAAGAGGUCGCCGAGUUAAGUCUGUGCAAGCAUAUCAGGCAAAAGCCAUAUCUGAGUGGCCAGAAGAGCAGCCCUCCAUGUAGUUCUCGCCGUCAAUGCAAGAAGAAGACAAACACUUCCCCCCCCCCCAAGGAGUGGGUGCAAUUUGUGCAAAAUAUGUGCUGCAAUUAUAUUACUCCAAAACUGAGCUGAGCACAACAGGACAAAUGGAUUGGCUGUAAAGAGAACCCCACCUGAGGUUUCCUCUUGAAAAACUUCCUGUAACAACCCAGCAGCUAUCACAUGUUGAAAUCUUGAAUAAUUGCAAGAAUUGUUCUAAGAAAUGCAUAGUUCCCUUAGGUGUGACGUUGUAAUGUUUUGUCUUUUGGCAUCCAGACAUAGGGUUGUGCUUCCAAAAUAACUGUGGGUUGAGCUUGGAUUUGGGGUCAAGGUUUGGAUUAGGGUUGGAGUUAGGGCCAGGGUCAGAGUUCAAGGUUAACUUUAGAGUUAAGCAGAUGGGCUACAGCCUUGGGUAAUCUGGAAGAUGGAUAGAGGGGCUGAUUUAGGAACUACAGUAUGUCCAAGGACACUGGGGACAAUGUUUUCACAAAUUUGAUUUCCACAUCCUACUAGAAGUCAGUUGGAGCCACCAUUUUGUUGUUGUUGUUGUUGUUCCUCUUCUUUCUACCUGAAUCUCAAAUGAGACAAGGAACCCAUCUGAGCCACUUUGUCUGUUAAAGUGCCCCCCCUUACCUCUCUUCUCGGACCUUUCCCACAAAUGUUACUCCUCCCUCGUUUUACCUAUCCAAGGGAUAUAGACAGUGUGAAUAUGUUUCAGGAGAAUGCCACCAAUGCCAUAAGGAAACUUCAUCUAAUGACGCCCACCUACCAAGUGCAUGGAACCCACAUGGGCCCACAUGAGCAGAUCCCAUGCUGAGAAAACCAGAGCAAAGCAGAACAAAAGCGUCCAGAAAGCAAGAGUUUUGACCUGCUUUGAUUCUAUUGACCUCUGUGUUGUGUGGAUGCCGGGAUGCAGAACGAGUAUGAUGGGUGCAAGGAAAGUUCAGUUGAUUCUCAGUGGGAAGGGACUUUGAGAAUGAUGGCGUCCACUCCAACUGGCUUUAUUCCAUCAUUGCAUGAUCAGGGAUGUUAGUCUUGAGCAAUCUCCAAAUGGCAGACGAACCCCCCAAAUGUUCAAUUUCCAAGAGUGAUGAAAAUUACACUUGCCCCUGAAAGGCUGGAAACCAGUAAUGGCUCACCCACUCCAAAGCCUGUAUACGUCAGUAGAUCUCCUAGGAAACUAAUGAAGCUAUGCUCCAGGGACCCUAAUCCCAGUGCAACGCUGGAACUGACCUUUAAAAAAUGUGGUGCUCCAUCAUGGAACAACCCCACAGGAGAUGGCAGUGGUUACCCAGGACUCGUUGCUAGUUGUAAAGGGCUGUCUACAACAGUUUGAGCAUCACAGCCCCAACAAUGUACGUCUGUCAGUGCUUUCCUAUCCAUAUGGGCUAGAAACUUGGUUUUCUUUUUAAAUUAAUGUCGAGAUUUUGGGAUGAGUAAUUUAUACCCAAUACAGUUUGGGCACUUGUGGGAUCCUUAGGUGUGAGCAACUGCAAAGCAUGCAACUGAGGAAAAAUACUUCCAUUCUCUGACAUUUUAUUUCUCAAUAGAGGAAACCUUAGCCCCUUGGUUCACAAUUAGAGGUGACAUUUUCUUAUUGAAAACUAUCCAUCAUUCAAGCCUGAAGCAGAAGCACUUGAAAGCUAUCAAAGGAUGCACAUAUGUGCCAAGUAGCACCCCUCAGCAGCAACAGGGACCUGGCUACCAGUUUGCUCUGGGCAUUGUGACACCUCCUUCAUUCUGACUGACCUCUCAAGUGGCCCUGUGUGAGGUGGCCUGAAGUCCUUCAUUUCACUUGCUACAGUGUUGGAGCAGGAGUGAAAAUCCUUUUUAGGAUGGUCCUCCCACCUCAGGAGGUGCUCCCUGACAGCAUCAAUAGACUUCUCCUUGGAUUCAGUCAGUAGGCUCAACGAUCCAAUCAUGGUCAUUGCCUGGUUUAUGAGCAUCAACAGGAGGAGGAGGAGGCAGGAGAUACGGCCGUCCUAGGCUUCCCCCCCUCCCAGACUCAGAUCAAGAGUCUCCGUGUGCAGGAGGGGAACUUUAUGCUAUGUCUUCACCUUCCACUCUCCUCCAGAGUUCUCCCCAUGGAAUCUGCCCCAUGGGGCCUGUCAGGAAAAGCAAAAAGAGCAAGAGAGAGAGCACUCCUGAAUAACAGCCAGAUUCUCCUCCUGCCUCCAGGUUGAGCUGGAUGAGGGAGAUCAAUUCCACUUUCCCAAUUGCACGGCCACCUGCUGCAUGGAUGCAGAAAUCCUGGGACAGGAACACCUCUGUAUGCCCUAUGCCAAGGCAGAGUUGGUUUCUGCAGUUGUGCCGAGUGACUGCGCCAUCAUAUUAAAUUUGAAAGUCCAGGCCCUCCUCAUGAUCACUACUCUCGGCAGACUCUCCACCAGGGCAGCCAGCCCAGAAACGCAGGACUGAUUCAUAGUAGCAGGUCGUUUGUGAAGCCAA